rnacentral:lncRNA from 1 species
ACUAUGGGCAGGUCAGAACAUCUGAACAAUAGUUUUCAUGACAACCAUCAGAACGGCCCCACUUGUAUCUGCCAGGAGACCUUCUCUACUGUCCUUGUCUCACAUCUGUCCGGAGCCCCCCUCCUCUGAGGUGUCACUGGUUAUAUUUGAUGCUCAGGUAUCAGGGAACCAAGGAACAAAACUUAGGCCAACCAUUUGUCUACCACAGCUCGCUCCUUUUAGCCAACGUGGGAAGAUUUCCACAAAUACAAGAUUAAACAUCCUCAGGCAGAAUCUCAAGGGCCUUCGAUUGACUCCUGGGACCAUGUGGAUGCAAAACCAGAUCCUCAUUUGGAAGCGAUGCUGUGCUGUGAAGCCCACCAUGGACCAGAAGGCUGGCAGACAGGGAGACAACCUCGUCCUUAGCACUGCAGUCUGA